rnacentral:rRNA from 1 species
GUUAAAAAGCUCGUCGUUGGAUUUCUGUUGAGGUCGAACAGUGCCGCCCUAUGGGUGCGCAACUGGCUCGGCUUCGGCAUCUUCUUGGAGAGCGUAUCUGCACUUAACUGUGUGGAUCGUACUUCAAGUCAGUUACUUUGAGGAAUUGUGAGUGUUUCAAGCAGGCUUACGCCGUUGAAUCCGUUAGCAUGGAAUAAUAGAAUAGGACUCUGGUUCUAUUUUGUUGGUUUUGAGAGCUGGGGCAGCGAUUGAUAGGGACGGAUGGGGGCGUCCGAACUUUACUGUCAGAGGUGAAAUUCUUAGAUCGGUCAAAGGCGAACUACUGCGAACGCAUUCGCCAAGAAUGUUUUCUUUAAUCAAGAACGAAAGUUAGGGGAUCGAAGACGAUCAGAUACCGUCCUAGUCUUAACCAUAAACGUUACUGACUAGAGAUUGGAGGUUGUGAUUCACAAACUCCAUCAGCACCUCUAUGUGUAAACGAAGUCUUUGAGUUCUGGGGGGAGUAUGGUCGCAAGACUGAAACUUAAAGGAGUUGACGGAAGGGCACCACCAGGAGUGGAACCUGCGGCUUAAUUUGACUCAACACGGGGAAACUUACCAGAUCAAGACAUAGUAAGGAUUGACAGAUUGAGAGUUCUCUCUCGAUUCUAUGGGUGGUGGUGCAUGGCC